CCUACGGGAGGCAGCAGUGGGGAAUAUUGGGCAAUGGGCGCAAGCCCGACCCAGCAACGCCGCGUGAAGGAAGAAGGCUUUCGGGUUGUAAACUUCUUUUCUUAGGGACGAAGAAAGUGACGGUACCUCAGGAAUAAGCCACGGCUAACUACGUGCCAGCAGCCGCGGGAAUACGGAGGUGGCAAGCGUUAGCCGGAUUUAUUGGGUGUAAAGGGAGUGUAGGCGGGAAAGCAAGUCAGAUGUGAAAAUUCAGGGCUCAACCCUGAGCCUGCAUUUGAAACUGUUUUUCUUGAGUUCUGGAGAGGCAAUCGGAAUUCGGGGUGUAGCGGUGAAAUGCGUAGAUAUCCGGAGGAACACCAGUGGCGAAGGCGGAUUGCUAGACAGUCACUGACGCUGAGGCGCGAAAGCGUGGGGAGCAAACAGGAUUAGAUACCCGUGUAGUC
rnacentral:rRNA from 1 species